rnacentral:lncRNA from 1 species
AGCAAAGCUUGAGGGAGGAGAACACAGCUGAGUCAGAGCUUAUCCAUCAUUGGUUGCUGAGCCUCACUGAGAGUAUGUUGUCUGCUGAGAACAAGAUUUACCUGGAGACUGAAAAUUGAAUUGAUCAUGGGUGAGGCAAGUUAGUAAGACUGGCUCGGACAGAGGGAGACCUUCAUCCAUCAGCCUUGGGAGAUAUUCCGGGUGCUUCUCAAACCCCUUCUAUGGAUGUGUAUUUUCUGAACGAAUGCAUGGGUUGCGGACAGCAGGUCAUGGGACAUCUCAGCCUCCAUAAUCAUGAGUGGGAAGAAAAAGAAAAAACAAUUGUUCUCCUUGGUGUGUUGGAUCUUGGGCGGAUAAAGGAACUUCAACUCCUUCGGUGAGAUGGUAGCAGCAGAGAGGUCAGAGAGACCUUGAGGCUUUGUCUUCAGUUGAGCAUGUCAAAACACCAUAUUUUGAUGUUUCUGAGUCCCAACAUGGGAAGUAAGAAGUGUGUUCUACAUUUAGAAUAGAGAAAAAUGUAAUAAAAUUUAAGAAGUACCUACAUAUAUAAGCUACAAUUUUAUUAAAGUGCUG